AGUGAACGCUGGCGGUAGGCCUAACACAUGCAAGUCGAACGGCAGCACAGUAAGAGCUUGCUCUUACGGGUGGCGAGUGGCGGACGGGUGAGGAAUACAUCGGAAUCUACUUUUUCGUGGGGGAUAACGUAGGGAAACUUACGCUAAUACCGCAUACGACCUACGGGUGAAAGCAGGGGAUCUUCGGACCUUGCGCGAUUGAAUGAGCCGAUGUCGGAUUAGCUAGUUGGCGGGGUAAAGGCCCACCAAGGCGACGAUCCGUAGCUGGUCUGAGAGGAUGAUAGGCCACACGGGAAUGGGGACCGGGUCCAAACUCCUACGGGGGGACGCAGGGGGGAAUAUGGGACAAUGGGCGCAAGCCUGAUCCCGCCAUCCCGCGUGGGUGAAGAAGGCCUUCGGGUUGUAAAGCCCUUUUUUUGGGAAAAAAAAGCAGCAGGUUAAAACCCCGCUGUUCUGACGGUACCCAAAGAAUAAGCACCGGCUAACUUCGU
rnacentral:rRNA from 1 species